UGAAGCAAUGAAAGAAAAUAGCAAACAAAUUCUUAAAAUGUAGGAGAAAGGUAUAAAAAAUGGAAAAGGAAGAUUGCUUGAUGAAGGAUGUAAAUAAAGGUAAGUGGUCAGCAAUUUGAGAGCCUCACAUCCUAACACUCUCACAUGGCGUUUCCUAUUCAAAACCCAGCAAGCACACCAACAAAUGGGGCUGGGCCUCUGGCUACUUUCCUGACCUUUCCCCUCUCCCCAACUUGCCCUGCUCUAGGCACCCGGAAAGCUUUCUUCUUCAAAUAUGCAAAGCACUCUCCUCUCCAAUCCCAGAACUUUUACAGUUGCUUCCUUUGGUUUUCAAUACUCUUCUACCAGAUUUCCUCAGGGCUCGCUUCUGACUCACUGCAGCUCUGUGCUCAGGGAGGUCUUCCCUUACACCCUUUCCAAAACAACAGCCCCCUACCCCAUGCCAUCACUCUCUAUCCCCUUCAUCCUGUUUAUUUUUCUGCACCUCACUGCCUGACAUUAUAUGUGUAUUUACACCUUAUCUAGCUGGAUGCUAAACCAACUGAGCCACCCAGGUGCCACUAUUUUAAACUUUAAAAAAAAAAAAAAAAAAGCCUAGUCUACCAGAGAAUAACAGCUAAAAGGUAAAUCUUUGUGGAUUUUUGGGUCAUAGGUGAUUACACUUUGUUGGUGCCUUCAUCUUCCUCAUUUCGAACAUAAACAAGCAUUAGUUUUGCAGUUAAAAAAAACUGUUCUAAUGUAGGUACUGAAAAUAAAUUAGAA